UACCAUAUGCUAGACUACCCUAAAAGCACCAGAUCCCAUCUAAUCUUGGAAGCUAAGUAAGUCAGGGCUAAUUAGUAUUUAGAUGAGAUACUGCCAAAAAUACCAGAUACUGUAGUCU
rnacentral:rRNA from 1 species